AAAAAUAAAGAAUAUAAAAAGAAACAAUGAGAUCGAACGAAAAAAGAAGUCGCUAGCAAAGAAAGACUGGCUAAGGCGAAACGAGGCACAAGAUUCGUAAUCCAAAUUAAAUACGUAGACCCCAACUGAUAAAAACGGUUGCCUUUAAAGAUAUCAGGAAACGAUCCAAAAGAUAAGUAGAAGGAAACCCCAAAAAAAAAGAAGAAAGAAAGAAGUAAACGGGAAAACGAAUGUUUACGGAUAAAAAAAGCGUCUUAUUAAGGAAGGUUGUGGUUCGAGAAGUGAACGAAAAACCAACAAAAUUAAGAAAAGGAAAAAAAAGAAGACUGGUCCGUCAGAAGCGAAAGAGUUAGGCGGCAAAUGAAAAUCGCCGCGAAACAGUCAGCCCCAAAAGGAAUUUUAAUUCCUCAAAUGUCAAAAUCGCAAGGAAUGAGGAAGUAUGAAAGUGAUCAGUGGUAGAUCCUCGUUAAUUAAGGAAAAAAAAAGGCCUGCUUAUAAAAAUCCCGAUUCUACCGUAAUGAAUGAUAAGAACGUAAUUCUCACUUAACAAACAAAGUUAGUUGGUAAUAUCUAAUACUUGAAUUCCGAGGCGAUCCGCAAGCUGGCAAACUGAUAUAUACGGAGCGCUAUUCGUUGUAUCGGUAAAAAGAGGUAGGCUAAGAAUGCACAGGGAGAGGGAGCUUAGCUAGCUAGAGUAGAACAGGCGAAAACCACCAGUUUCGCCAAGGAAGUGAGUUGCGAAAGAAAUGAACAAAGAAAAUGAGUGUCAAAAUGGUAGACAAAAAAUGGUUUGUUAGGUAAAGCGUAACUCCUAAAUAUCGUGAGGAAUGGCCUCAGCAAGUGUGAAAAAGGAACAAACAAAGACAAAAGAGGGUAUCAAAGAGAAUAUCGACUUGAACGAUGAAAUCUUAAGCUGAAUAAAUAGAUUUAUAAAAUUUCGGUAUAAAGCUAAGGCCGAUUGAACAGUCAAUUAUCACAAGAAACGAAAGAAUAGACCAUUCGCGUUGAAAACGAUGACUUGCGGACGAUGGAAGUAAACUGACGUGUUCAGUAUAUAGGAAAAAUUCAUUAGCGUAGUGCGUUCGAAGACGUUAUACAAUCGAUGAUAAGAGUGUAUGAAGAAUUGAUUAAACAAGAAGUUUGGAGGGAAUGAGAAAGUAAGAUGGAAAACGAAAAAUUUGGCAAAACAAAAUUAGUAGUGAAUUACUGUUUAUUAAUAAAAUUCGUUUUUGACAGGCAAUUAUGUGUUUCUCUUUGCUUUGAAAGUUGGUUUUUACCCACAAGAAGAUUCUUACAUCGGAUAUAAGAAGAAAGAAGUAGCGAAAGGUGGCGAUCCAAGAACAGUAGCGCUCUUGAGCAAAUUGGUUUGAACUACUGAUUCUUUUGAUUUUAUAAAUUAUCGUUAAUCGACCGGGCAAGCUUACUUCAACCAUAAAUCGUGGACAAAGUAACAACUGACAUAAAAAUGAUGAGCAUACGAAAAUAGACGAAACGAGCAAAAGGCGAAAAUAAGUAAACAUGGAGCAACAAAGUAAAUUUGGAAAGAAUGAAUUUCUUCAAACUACUCAAUGAAUAGCAAUCGCCCUAGAAACAUGAGUAAUUGUUUGAAUUAGUGGACGACUCAGACACGCAUGGUAGGAAGACUGUUUACUCUAUAUAAGGAUAUUGGCAGCAACACAUAAACCGCUACAACGAUAGAUACCGAAGACAUUAAACUAUUUUUACGUAUAUUUGUGCAUUUUAAUGAAGACAUUAAAAUUCGUUAACGACGUGCGCUGAAUUUUUCGAUUUGAAGAGGAAAGCAUCAAAAGACUUAACAAAGUAUUGAAAGAAUGAAGCUCUUCAAUAAUAUAUUAGAGGCUAUUUAAAAAAUUUGAAGAACCUUGGUAAUAAAAAUCGGUGCAGCUUCAUAAUUAUAUCGUCGUCCCUACCGAUGUCAAUCAUAAUUAAUUGCUUUCUUCGUAGGAUAGAAAUGUAAACUGUAGAACGUAAAACUUAAGAGGAAGGGAAUUAGAAACAUUUAUUAUAUAUAUUCCUAACAACCCUUAAAGUGUACGAGUUUGUCAAAGAGCAUGAUGGGACUUUGACUUUUUUUACCUACCUAUACUGCCCCAAAAGGACUCAUGGCAGAAAUAGGCUUCAAAUAAAGUACAAUAGUGAUUACUAGCACAAAUCCUUAUUUUUUAUUACUGGAAUUUGCCGAUUUAUUAUAUGAAGAUAGCGCGAUUGUACGUUGAUAAAGAAACGAAUGGAAUAAGGCACAUCACACCAAAAUCUUAUGUGACAAAAAUCUAUCACAAUACAUCAUUAUACAAACACUACAGUAACGAAAUUUUAUAUUAUGAGUACCUGUGAAUUUCUCUAUUUUAUUUAUCGAUACAACAGAGCAACUCGUUUUUCUUGUAAAAAGUAAAUAAAUUCAAUUUAGUAAACGAUUUACGAACUUCUUCUAAGUUACGACAUAUUGCAUGGAAGAACGUGAGAAUGUUUGUUGGUCCGCUCUGCCUUGGGGCUGUCAGCUGCUUUACUCUUUCUCUGCAAUCGGACGUAUGACCUGGAAAAUACGCUUGUGAACAGAUUUUGAUAAAUGUUGAAAUAAA